rnacentral:rRNA from 1 species
AUUUUGCCCAAUGGACGAAAGUCUGAGGCAGCAACUCCGCGUGAGGGACGAAGGCCUUCGGGUCGUAAACCUCUUUUCUCAGGGAAGAUCCAAGACGGUACCUGAGGAAUAAGCCACGGCUAACUACGUGCCAGCAGCCGCGGUAAUACGUAGGUGGCGAGCGUUGUCCGGAAUUACUGGGCGUAAAGAGCGCGCAGGCGGCUGGUCAAGUCCGAUGUGAAAGCUUCCGGCUUAACUGGGAAAUUGCAUCGGAAACUGAUUGGCUUGAAGGUGGGAGAGGGUAGUGGAAUUCCCGGUGUAGUGGUGAAAUGCGUAGAUAUCGGGAGGAACACCAGUGGCGAAGGCGACUACCUGGCCCACUCUUGACGCUGAGGCGCGAAAGCUAGGGGAGCGAACGGG